rnacentral:rRNA from 1 species
GGCCUUUCGACUUCCUUAUAAAAGAUUUAAGGUCCGGCCUGCCCUCUGAUUCAUAAAUAUUAAAGGGCUGCAGUACAACUAACUGUACAAAGGUAGCAUAAUAACUUGCCUUUUAAUUGUUGGCUUGCAUGAAUGGCCCGACGAGAUAUAAACUGUCUCUACUACGAUACAAUUGAACCUCACCUCCCAAAGUGAACAGGCUGGGAUACAACCGGGGGACGAAAAGACCCUAUAGAUUUUUAUACCAAAAAGAAUUAUUAUAAGAAAUUAAUUAACCGUCUAACUGUAAUAAUCCAAUAGGUGAUUUACUGGGGCGGUGCUCUGAAGAAAAAAAUCUUCAAGUAUUUAAUAUUCACCAAUCAGUGAUCUGAUCCCUUAUUAGGGAUAACAAGAAACAAAUACCUUAGGGAUAACAGCGUUAUUUUCUCCAAGAGCCCGUAUCGAAGAGAAUGAUUUGCGACCUCGAUGUUGAAUUUAGGAAAAAGAAAGGCGCAGAAGCCUACUCAGAUGGUCUGUUCGACCAACACGUUUCCUUCA